UACAGAGGUGGCAAGCGUUGUUCGGAAUUACUGGGCGUAAAGGGCGCGUAGGCGGCCCUCUUAGUCGGACGUGAAAUCCCCAGGCUUAACUUGGGAACUGCGUCCGAUACUGGAGGGCUUGAGUGCGGGAGAGGGAUGUGGAAUUCCAGGUGUAGCGGUGAAAUGCGCAGAUAUCAGGAAGAACACCCGUGGCGAAAGCGGCUCUCUGGAACGGUACUGACGCUGAGACGCGAAAGCGUGGGGAGCGAACAGG
rnacentral:rRNA from 1 species